UACGUAGGGUGCAAGCGUUGUCCGGAAUUAUUGGGCGUAAAGAGCUCGUAGGCGGUCUGUCGCGUCGGCUGUGAAAUCCCGAGGCUCAACCUCGGGUCUGCAGUCGAUACGGGCAAACUAGAGUAUUGCAGGGGAGACUGGAAUUCCUGGUGUAGCGGUGAAAUGCGCAGAUAUCAGGAGGAACACCGGUGGCGAAGGCGGGUCUCUGGGACAGAACUGACGCUGAGGAGCGAAAGCAUGGGGAGCGAACAGG
rnacentral:rRNA from 1 species